CCCGAUUAAAGCGGUACGCGAGCUGGGGUUCAGAACGUCGUGAGACAGUUCGGUCCCUAUCCGUCGUGGGCGUAGGAAAUUUGAGAGGAGCUGUCCUUAGUACGAGAGGACCGGGAUGGACAUACCUCUGGUGUACCAGUUGUCGUGCCAACGGCAUAGCUGGGUAGCUAUGUAUGGACGGGAUAAGUGCUGAAAGCAUCUAAGCAUGAAGCCCCCCUCAAGAUGAGAUUUCCCAACUUCGGUUAUAAGAUCCCUCGAAGAUGACGAGGUUAAUAGGUUCGAGGUGGAAGCGUGGUGACACGUGGAGCUGACGAAUACUAAUCGAUCGAAGACUUAAUCAA
rnacentral:rRNA from 1 species